ACGAAGCACAAACGAACGGUACCAUUUUGGGUCCAUUUUGAGCAGAUGGGGGGCUGGGUGAACUCCGGAUGACCUAUAAAAGAAUCGUUCAUAACUAAAAAACCAUCGCAGCACAAACAAAAUGUUUUGCUGCACAAACGAAGCACAAACGAACGGUACCAUUUUGGGUCCAUUUGGAGACAGGUGGGGGGCUGGGUGACGUCAUCGCUAUAAAAUAAAUGUGUAAUAUCUCCGAAACGGAAGCAGCACAAACGAAAAUUUUUGCUGCACAAACGAAGCACAAACGAACGGUACAAUUUUGGGUCCAUUUGGAGACAGGUGGGGGGCUGGGUGACGUCAUUGCUAUAAAAUAAAUGUGUAAUAUCUCCGAAACGGAAGUAGCACAAACGAACAUUUUUGCUGCACAAACCAGCACUAACGAAGCACAAACGAAUGGUACCAUUUUGGGUCCAUUUUGAGCAGAUGGGGGGCUGGGCGAACUCUGGAUGACCUAUAAAAGAAUCGUUCAUAACUAAAAAAACCAUAGCAGCACAAACGAAAUUUUUGCUGCACAAACCAGCACAAACGAAGCACAAACGAAACAGACUAUUCUGCUUAAAUUUUGCGGGGGGUGGGGGGCCAGCUUCACGCAGGUACAGCACACUGAUAUAAAAUCAAGUUUGCGGCACUACCAGUUCUCCCAAAAGGGAGCGGUAACGCGUAACUUGCCGACAGUCCGCCGGCGAAGAAGAUAAGCUUACCAAAGAAGAAAAAAUACAAUCGCAACGGCGGGCCAACAUGGAGGCAGUUUUUAGCGAUGUUGUCAAAGUCAUAAUUAGAUGUCGACACUGUGAUGAAAGAAAAGCACGCAUCCGCGUCACCAUUGAGCGUCAGUCGAGCACAAGUGCCGUUUGCAAACGAGAUCUUUUGGUAAGAUUGACCAAUGACGAGGAUCCGCAUUUUUUCUUCAGCCUCACAAUCUCUGAGGAAGAUUUCCAAAGGUUUGCCUAAGAAGUAGC